rnacentral:lncRNA from 1 species
UCAUACUUUGUUAGAGACAGCAGGUGUCCUCUUAUAGCCGAGAGUAUAUAUGAACGUAGGUACAUGUAACAAAUUGAUUUUAGAUGUACAUAAAAUGACAAAUAUUGUAUGCAUGACAUAGAAUUAAAAUAGCAAUACUUCAUUAAAAAUUACUGACACACCUACGUUAAAGGAUUUUCUGUUCCUAAGACACCACAACGAAAAGAUUAAAGAUGACAGCGAUAUAACCUCUAAUCUACAAUGUGACAUAAUAUCGUUCAGGAAAAUAAAGAGGAAAAGAGAAUCGAA